GUACACUCCUGCGGGAGGCAGCAGUGGGGAAUAUUGGACAAUGGGCGCAAGCCUGAUCCAGCCAUGCCGCGUGAGUGAUGAAGGCCCUAGGGUUGUAAAGCUCUUUCAACGGUGAAGAUAAUGACGGUAACCGGAGAAGAAGCCCCGGCUAACUUCGUGCCAGCAGCCGCGGUAAUACGAAGGGGGCUAGCGUUGUUCGGAUUUACUGGGCGUAAAGCGCACGUAGGCGGACUAUUAAGUCAGGGGUGAAAUCCCGGGGCUCAACCCCGGAACUGCCUUUGAUACUGGUAGUCUUGAGUUCGAGAGAGGUGAGUGGAAUUCCGAGUGUAGAGGUGAAAUUCGUAGAUAUUCGGAGGAACACCAGUGGCGAAGGCGGCUCACUGGCUCGAUACUGACGCUGAGGUGCGAAAGCGUGGGGAACAAACAGGAUUAGAAACCCCGGUAGUCCCAUGAU
rnacentral:rRNA from 1 species